CCCUAAUGUAGUUUAGUGGAGUUGGGCUAAGUUGUAGAAAGGAUCCAAGGUACCAAUGGGGUAUUUCACAUUAACCUUACCUGAUUUUUAAGUGUUUUGCAGAUUCCUGUUCUGAUGGAAACAAAGAGAAUUUACCACAAGAGAAAAGAAGAAUAUUUGAAACAAAACAAAAUCCAUUAAAGACAAACUUCACACAAAAGUUUUUUGGAAUCAAGUCUUCAGAAUAUUGAAGUUAAAGCAGCAGUAUUUUAAGCAACUCCCCUAAAGAUACUGCUCCAUUUACCUCAUCAUGUGGUCUUUGGAGAGUAUGGAACAUAUAAGCAGGAACUGAAAGCACAGAGGAGAAGAUUUCAGAGCCAGAGAAGACAAGUGGAUAGAAGACUGGAGGCUGGAGCACAAGUCCUUGGACCCAGAUUCAUCCCAUCUCACACCAUCCACGUGGCAGACUCUCCUCCCGUAUUUCUCCACUGAGACCAAGGCUAGUCUGAAAGGAGACCAAGGCCAGUCUGAAAGGCUCUCCAGAAAGCUA